rnacentral:rRNA from 1 species
UACGAAGGGGGCUAGCGUUGCUCGGAAUCACUGGGCGUAAAGCGCACGUAGGCGGCUUUCUAAGUCAGGGGUGAAAUCCUGGAGCUCAACUCCAGAACUGCCUUUGAUACUGGAGAGCUUGAGUCCGGAAGAGGUGAGUGGAACUCCGAGUGUAGAGGUGAAAUGCGUAGAUAUCGAGAGGAACACCUGCGGCGAAGGCGGGUUGCUGGGCUGACACUGACGCUGAACUGCGAAAGCUAGGGGAGCGAACGGG